UUAGGACAAUUUUUUGAAUGCU
rnacentral:rRNA from 1 species